CCUUGCUACAUGUUGGGGUUAAUGUUGAUUACAAAGAUUUUAGAUGACUUUGUUAAAGACUAUCAGCUGAAUUGAAGGACAGAUUGAUGAGAUCUGUUGGCUCUUUUUGUACAAAGGUCAUGCUUGCAUUCUAGCAAAAAUUACAUGUUUGCUUAUUUACUUGUACAUAUUUAUCUUGAAGAGGAAAAACUAUAAGAACAAUAAACUUCAUGGACAUCAAGU
rnacentral:lncRNA from 1 species